ACAUUUCCUAUAUGAAGGCCAUCUAAAUGCAUUUAAUCAUUAUUAUGUAAAGUUCUAUUUUGAAUGUAAAUACUGUAUUUAUCCUCAUUUCAUGUGAUUUACAGUUAUAUAGCCUGCAUGUAACUCAGAGUGCAUUUCAUAUUUCUAUGAUGGGUCAUUCUAUGAUUGAAUUUAAAUCAGAAAAAUGUUCACUAAAUUUUGGUAAAAUACAUGGUAUCUUUUACAUUUCUAUCCCUUUUGUCUGUAAAUUAUUGCUUUACUUACAUUGUAAAAUGAGGUUAAUUUGUGUAUCACUAAAUUGUAUGAUUUUUUUUCAGGAUCAGCUGAGAUGUUAUUACACUGGAUUAUUUAAUGGAUAGACUUAUUGGGCAUAUAGUUGGAUAUCUCUGUCAUCAACAUGGAAUGUAUGACUUCAUCUUUUAUACAGUCGGGUUCGGGGUUUCGGGCGGCCAUGACGAAUUUCAGCAAGAUUUUACCCCAGUGAAAAAGGCUUGUAAUCCACAGUUCCUCAACCUGGAAGAUAUGUUUUGUUCCUAACCAUCUAUAAUCCAUUCUCUAUGAAGUGAAGCCUGGCUGCUCUUCCUUUGGAAAUACACAGUUAGUCAAUCAACAUAGAAACACACAAACUUGAAGGAUAUUCUAGUGAGGGCUUAUGGAAAUGAUCUAUGUCUACUCUCAGAAUGGUGAAAGACUAUCAGAUUAUGCAAAGACUAACAGGAUAUCCUCUCUUGGAACACUGAAACAAGAAAAUCAAACAGGAGGUGGAUGGAGGAUUUAAGAAGCAUGGUGAAAGACUAUCAGAUUAUGCAAAGACUAACAGAAUAUCCUCUCUUAAAACACUGAAACAAGAAAAUCAAACAGGAUGGAGGAUUUAAGAAGCACAUAGAUAAAUAUGAUUUCCAACCAAUUUAAGUACGAUCAUAGACUGUGCUUUACAGGAUGACAAAGAAAGGACCCAGGAUAGUAUCUUUUACUGUCAGACA